CGGUGUAGUUCAUGAUGAGCCACAGCAUUGGAAUGCCUCUCUGUGAUUCAUCUUCGGAGGUGGGAUUGCUCUGACUGUUUGCAGUCAAAGCGUUAUUUGCAUUAAUAUUUCUCGCACACACGAACUCCGAUAGAUCUGAGAUUAUACCAAUGAUCAUCGCACACGUCCAGGCAGUGAUGAUCAGAAACCAAUGUCCUUCCACUCCCUCCUCCGCCAGAACAAAUAGACACGGGGUCAGCCACUCUGUCCUGUCUGGUGAGUCACUUUAAGCCGGGCUUUGCACAGGUCCUCUGGGGCAUGGAUGGGAAAGAGACAGGCAGCAAGGUGGCCACUAGUGCUGUGCCCCCGGACAGCGAUCAAAGCUACAGCCUGAGCAGUUACCUGACAGUACUGGCCACUGACUGGAAGAAAGGCUCAAGAUAUUCCUGCAGUGUGGGGCACGGUUCACUGAACUCCCCUCUCCUCAACACCAUCAGCUCCAGGGACUGUUAGCUCUAAGGUGUACAAUGACCCAAAUCAGUCACUAUGCACGAUGUGGCGUUUUGUUGUUUUAGUUUUGCAAUGUAAUUUCUACAACAAUGUCAUUAUUUUGUGAAUAUUGAAGGGUAUCAGGAGUGGGUGAAAUGAUUAUUCCAUUUGGUGAGUGGAGAUUACCUGCUCCAAUUGUCGCCAGCAUUUUGUGUGCAAACUCUCGUUCUGGGUAGAAUGGGGAGUGAUCUCCACUUUUAGUCAAUGACCAUGCUGUAUUUGUGAAUUUUGGAAACACAGCUAUGAAUAAAUAUGAAAUGGU